rnacentral:rRNA from 1 species
CGAACGGGUGAGUAACACGUGGGCAACCUGGGCAAAAGAGGGGGAUAACACUUGGAAACAGGUGCUAAUACCGCAUAACCAUAGUUACCGCAUGGUAACUAUGUAAAAGGUGGCUAUGCUACCUCUUUUGGAUGGGCCCGCGGCGCAUUAGCUAGUUGGUGGGGUAAAGGCUUACCAAGGCAAUGAUGCGUAGCCGAACUGAGAGGUUGAUCGGCCACAUUGGGACUGAGACACGGCCCAAACUCCUACGGGAGGCAGCAGUAGGGAAUCUUCCACAAUGGGCGAAAGCCUGAUGGAGCAACGCCGCGUGGGUGAAGAAGGUCUUCGGAUCGUAAAACCCUGUUGUUAGAGAAGAAAGUGCGUGAGAGUAACUGUUCACGUUUCGACGGUAUCUAACCAGAAAGCCACGGCUAACUACGUGCCAGCAGCCGCGGUAAUACGUAGGUGGCAAGCGUUAUCCGGAUUUAUUGGGCGUAAAGGGAACGCAGGCGGUCUUUUAAGUCUGAUGUGAAAGCCUUCGGCUUAACCGGAGUAGUGCAUUGGAAACUGGGAGACUUGAGUGCAGAAGAGGAGAGUGGAACUCCAUGUGUAGCGGUGAAAUGCGUAGAUAUAUGGAAGAACACCAGUGGCGAAAGCGGCUCUCUGGUCUGUAACUGACGCUGAGGUUCGAAAGCGUGGGUAGCAAACAGGAUUAGAUACCCUGGUAGUCCA